ACAGUGAUUUGGUCCCAUUGGAGCCUUUGGCCCCAGGGGCACUCACUUUUUCUCAUCAGAGUCUCUCCUUGCCACAGCCCGGGUCACCAUCGGUUCCCUGGCCUCCCUCCGUGGUCCAGCACUGGCCCCAGUAUGCUGUGUAUGCAGCAGGGACUCUUUUCCCCACAUGCCAGGAUGACUUGGAUCUGGGAAGGGCGUGUCAUCUCAGUUUGUUCCUCCCGCACCCCUCCUCCCCCUGCUUCCUGUGGGAUCAGAGUAAGGCUCCUGUUGGCCAGUAGCUUGUGAUCUGGGACCUCUGGGGCCUCGUGUCUGCCUCACUCCCGGGCCCCAGUCCUGGGUGAAGUUGGCAAAGCACUGGGUAUCUUGUGCGGCUGCCGUGGAAGGCGGCCCUGCUCGAUGCAGGGUCUGCAGUGGCCUGAGGGCAGCCAGGCACUGCAUGCCUGUCUCCUUAUGAGGAAGGCUGCAAAUUUCAGAGAAAGGGAGGUGAGGUUUCCACCAUGUUGGCUGUUGACUCUCCCUGUAUGUUAAACCCUUGACCAGUUUACUCGUUUCUAUCCUGGAAGAUUUUUAACAAAGGGAAAAACCAACAGCAAUAAGUCAUUGGUGAGCAGCUAACUCGCUCAUUGAUGAGCAGCUAACUCUCACACACAUACACACACACACACACACACACACACCCCGACACCCUGCUUUUCAUACAGAACUAGCCAAUGUAAAGAUGACUCACAUGUAAAUACUUUUUUCCAUUUCACACCGUUGUAUUAUAAGUGUAUAUGGCGACUCCUUUUCCAGAAACUUUUCUUACCUGUUGGUUGUCUUGUUUCCUGGGUUGUUUUUAACUGAAGACAAAAUUGCUCAUUUGCCAGAGGGGACAGAAGCAUCUUGUGGCAUUUCCCAUGUGGUGGCCUCCAUGGCACCCACUCUCCCAGUUCCUAUGCAGGUUAUCCCCUGUGGUUUCUCCCCACAUGCCUACCCUACCUAGGGCUGAGGGGGAGGGGCUCUUGCUUUAAGUCAGAAGUCUCAAAUGACAUGCUCAUCAAUUAAAGGAAAAAAAAAACCCCACCUCAACCUUCAUAACUGCCCAACAACUACCCCCACCCCCACCCGCGCCCUCCAGUCCUACGCUGCUGCUAACGACAAUACGACGGCUUACUCUGCUACUCGAGAACUAUUUUUAUGUAAUUAAUGUAUGCUUUCUUGUUUAUAAAUGCCUGAUUUAAAAAAAAAAAAGAGGAA
rnacentral:lncRNA from 1 species